rnacentral:rRNA from 1 species
UACGGAGGAUCCGAGCGUUAUCCGGAUUUAUUGGGUUUAAAGGGUGCGCAGGCGGGAAAUUAAGUCGGCGGUGAAAUUUUGCGGCUCAACUGUAAAAGUGCCUUCGAAACUGGUUUCCUUGAGUGUAGAUGAAGUAGGCGGAAUUUGUGGUGUAGCGGUGAAAUGCAUAGAUAUCACGAGGAACUCCGAUUGCGCAGGCAGCUUACUAAACUACUACUGACGCUCAGGCACGAAGGCGUGGGGAUCAAACAGGAUUAGAUACCCCUGUAGUCCCUGA